GCCUAACACAUGCAAGUCGAGCGGUAGCACAGAGAGCUUGCUCUCGGGUGACGAGCGGCGGACGGGUGAGUAAUGUCUGGGAAACUGCCUGAUGGAGGGGGAUAACUACUGGAAACGGUAGCUAAUACCGCAUAACGUCGCAAGACCAAAGUGGGGGACCUUCGGGCCUCAUGCCAUCAGAUGUGCCCAGAUGGGAUUAGCUGGUAGGUGGGGUAACGGCUCACCUAGGCGACGAUCCCUAGCUGGUCUGAGAGGAUGACCAGCCACACUGGAACUGAGACACGGUCCAGACUCCUACGGGAGGCAGCAGUGGGGAAUAUUGCACAAUGGGCGCAAGCCUGAUGCAGCCAUGCCGCGUGUGUGAAGAAGGCCUUCGGGUUGUAAAGCACUUUCAGCGGGGAGGAAGGCGGUGAGGUUAAUAACCUCAUCGAUUGACGUUACCCGCAGAAGAAGCACCGGCUAACUCCGUGCCAGCAGCCGCGGUAAUACGGAGGGUGCAAGCGUUAAUCGGAAUUACUGGGCGUAAAGCGCACGCAGGCGGUCUGUCAAGUCGGAUGUGAAAUCCCCGGGCUCAACCUGGGAACUGCAUUCGAAACUGGCAGGCUAGAGUCUUGUAGAGGGGGGUAGAAUUCCAGGUGUAGCGGUGAAAUGCGUAGAGAUCUGGAGGAAUACCGGUGGCGAAGGCGGCCCCCUGGACAAAGACUGACGCUCAGGUGCGAAAGCGUGGGGAGCAAACAGGAUUAGAUACCCUGGUAGUCCACGCUGUAAACGAUGUCGAUUUGGAGGUUGUGCCCUUGAGGCGUGGCUUCCGGAGCUAACGCGUUAAAUCGACCGCCUGGGGAGUACGGCCGCAAGGUUAAAACUCAAAUGAAUUGACGGGGGCCCGCACAAGCGGUGGAGCAUGUGGUUUAAUUCGAUGCAACGCGAAGAACCUUACCUGGUCUUGACAUCCACAGAACUUUCCAGAGAUGGAUUGGUGCCUUCGGGAACUGUGAGACAGGUGCUGCAUGGCUGUCGUCAGCUCGUGUUGUGAAAUGUUGGGUUAAGUCCCGCAACGAGCGCAACCCUUAUCCUUUGUUGCCAGCGGUUAGGCCGGGAACUCAAAGGAGACUGCCAGUGAUAAACUGGAGGAAGGUGGGGAUGACGUCAAGUCAUCAUGGCCCUUACGACCAGGGCUACACACGUGCUACAAUGGCAUAUACAAAGAGAAGCGACCUCGCGAGAGCAAGCGGACCUCAUAAAGUAUGUCGUAGUCCGGAUUGGAGUCUGCAACUCGACUCCAUGAAGUCGGAAUCGCUAGUAAUCGUAGAUCAGAAUGCUACGGUGAAUACGUUCCCGGGCCUUGUACACACCGCCCGUCACACCAUGGGAGUGGGUUGCAAAAGAAGUAGGUAGCUUAACCUUCGGGAGGGCGCUUACCACUU
rnacentral:rRNA from 1 species